GCUAACAUCAUUCAUUAGAAUUCUUCUCAGCUGUGUUAGUCCAGAGUUUUAGCUACUAAUUCAGGUUAACAGCUCUCCAGCUUUUGAGAGAGGCAGUAAACAAGAAGAUGGAAUUCAGCAGGCAUUUGAGAGGAAUCAUUGGAAGAAGGAAGGAACCUGCUCAUUUCCCCCUCAGAGAGAACACAAGAAGACUAAGCUUCAAAAUCAGAAGAUUAAAGUCAAGCGGUGAAAAAUACCCCUUCAAAAUCAGCUACAUAAGCUUGCCAGCUAAUCCAGCAAGAACAGUCACCAAUGAAGGGAGGCCUGCAGUACCCAGUACAGCUUUACCCUCCCUGAACAGCAGAGCCCGAUGACAACCCCCAGAACUAUGACCCAAAGGAGACCCAGGCCCGCAGGCGGGGAGGCAGGGAGCCAG